CUACCCUGGGGCUACAGUAGCCUGAUGGUUGUCUUGCACCUGGGUUGAGACAGAGGUGCAAUUUGACAGCUGCUACCAUGACUGUGCAGUCCUCUUCAGGAUCCCUGCUCCUCCUGCACGGGGAGAGGCCUAGAAAAGGUGCCCUAACCCUAGGCUGCCUUAUCUGCUCUUGCCUGGGGAACCGCAUGCAGUGGGAUCAUUCUCUCUGCAGUCAAAAGCAUCACAAGACGACAAUGUUUUGGCAGCGUGGAGCGUUCUAUCAAAGUAGCUGUAAUUUACUAAACAGAUGAAAUUAAUAAACCUGCUAAAAUACAUUGUAAAGUAUCCCAAAACACACUUGGAGUAGAAGCUGUUUGUGCAUUUGUAUGUAGUAGCAUGGCACCAAAAAACGUUUUGUAGAACAAAAAAGCAUGCUAGAUGCUUUGGAGAAAGGCAAAAGACCUAGCAGCAAAGAGCUUACAACCUAAUGCCCACUUUUGUAUCGGUGUACACAGAAGUCAACUGAGAUCAGUCAAG